rnacentral:rRNA from 1 species
AGAGUGAACGCUGGCGGUAGGCCUAACACAUGCAAGUCGAACGGCAGCACAGUAGGAGCUUGCUCUUACGGGUGGCGAGUGGCGGACGGGUGAGUAAUACAUCGGAACGUGCCCAAUCGUGGGGGGAUAACGCAGCGAAAGCUGUGCUAAUACCGCAUAAGAUCUACGGAUGAAAGCAGGGGAUCGCAAGACCUUGCGCGAAUGGAGCGGCCGAUGGCAGAUUAGGUAGUUGGUGAGGUAAAGCGUCACCAAGCCUUCGAUCUGUAGCUGGUCUGAGAGGACGACUAGCCACACUGGGACU